AUCCUGGCCCAGCAGGUCCAUGCACUAGAGAGGCGUCUCCUCUCUGCCUGCUACCAUCACCAGCAGGGUCCUGGCCUGACCCCACCGUGUCCCUGCUUGAUGGCCCCAGCUCCCCCUUGCCAUGUGAGUCUCACGGCCCAGCCUGGAGGGGUGACAAGUAGGGAUGUCAUGGAGCCUCUGACGCACCUUUUUGCAGGCACUGCCACCCCUCUACUCCUGCCCCUGCUGCCACAUCUGCCCACUGUGUCGAGUGCCCCUGGCCCACUGGGCCUGCCUGCCAGGGGAGCACCACCUGCCCCAGACAAGUCCCUGGCUGUCACUGGCAUCUACACGGGCCGGCAAAGAAGACCUUUGAGAGGACUUUUUUGAAAGUUGGGCAGACGUGUCUUUCUCAAGAACC
rnacentral:lncRNA from 1 species